rnacentral:rRNA from 1 species
UACGGAGGGGGCUAGCGUUGUUCGGAAUUACUGGGCGUAAAGCGCACGUAGGCGGCUUUGUAAGUUAGAGGUGAAAGCCUGGUGCUCAACACCAGAAUUGCCUUUAAGACUGCAUCGCUUGAACGUCGGAGAGGUGAGUGGAAUUCCGAGUGUAGAGGUGAAAUUCGUAGAUAUUCGGAAGAACACCAGUGGCGAAGGCGGCUCACUGGACUGGUAUUGACGCUGAGGUGCGAAAGCGUGGGGAGCAAACAGG